rnacentral:rRNA from 1 species
UACGUAGGGAGCAAGCGUUGUUCGGAUUUACUGGGCGUAAAGGGCGCGUAGGCGGCGCGGUAAGUCACUUGUGAAAUCUCUGAGCUUAACUCAGAACGGCCAAGUGAUACUGCAGUGCUAGAGUGCAGAAGGGGCAAUCGGAAUUCUUGGUGUAGCGGUGAAAUGCGUAGAUAUCAAGAGGAACACCUGAGGUGAAGACGGCUUGCUGGGCUGACACUGACGCUGAAGCGCGAAAGCCAGGGGAUCAAACAGG